UAGAGUCAACUGAAGGGCCGUUGAAGACUACAACGUUGAUAGGCGAGAUGUGGAAGUGCUGUGAGGCAUUAAGCUAACUCGUACUAAUUACCCGUGAGGCUUAACCAUACAACGCCAAAGUGGUUU
rnacentral:rRNA from 1 species